GGGGAUGUUUUGGUUUUGACAGCAUCAGACAUUGGACGGUAAGCACGCCGGGCGUCGGAACCUUGCCCGUAAAUCUCAGAUUCCAAACAAUUAGUUGGCAACAACUCUUAUGCACUCGCUGCCUAGUCUGCAAAGCACACUAGCUUAAUCCGGUCCGCCAAGGCUGCGGGCCCGACGAGUAUCCCUCAGGACUUUAGGCCGGUUAUGUUCUGAAUCAGGGGUAUCAUCCAAACCGGAUGCAGCAGCGGACUCCUUUAAAGCUGCCCAAGUCCCAAAGGAUAAGUUGCGGUUGGCCCGUCUUUCGGCAGACCGCAUCCGACAAUCAAAGGAAGAAUAAACGUGUAGAAAGCCGCCUGGUGCGGUGUUUGGACGGCGGUUCGAGUCCGCCCAUCUCCACA
rnacentral:tmRNA from 1 species